rnacentral:rRNA from 1 species
UACGUAGGGUGCAGGCGUUAAUCGGAAUUACUGGGCGUAAAGCGUCCGCAGGUGGCAGUUCAAAUCUGCUGUCAAAGACCGGGGCUUAACUUCGGAAAGGCAGUGGAAACUGAACAGCUAGAGUAUGGUAGGGGCAGAGGGAAUUCCUGGUGUAGCGGUGAAAUGCGUAGAGAUGCGGAGGAACACCGAUGGCGAAGGCAGCCCCCUGGGCUAACACUGACGCUCAGGCACGAAAGCGUGGGGAGCAAACAGGG